GACGAACGCUGGCGGCGUGCUUAACACAUGCAAGUCGAACGGAAAGGCCUCAGCUUGCUGGGGUACUCGAGUGGCGAACGGGUGAGUAACACGUGGGUGAUCUGCCUUGCACUCUGGGAUAAGCUUGGGAAACUGGGUCUAAUACCGGAUAUGAACUGCCUUUAGUGUGGUGGUUGGAAAGUUUUUUCGGUGCAAGAUGAGCUCGCGGCCUAUCAGCUUGUUGGUGGGGUAAUGGCCUACCAAGGCGUCGACGGGUAGCCGGCCUGAGAGGGUGUACGGCCACAUUGGGACUGAGAUACGGCCCAGACUCCUACGGGAGGCAGCAGUGGGGAAUAUUGCACAAUGGGCGGAAGCCUGAUGCAGCGACGCCGCGUGGGGGAUGACGGCCUUCGGGUUGUAAACUCCCUUCGACAGGGACGAAGCUUUUUGUGACGGUACCUGUAUAAGAAGCACCGGCUAACUACGUG
rnacentral:rRNA from 1 species